CCGAGUCUCGCAACUCCCAAACCACCGUGAACCUUACCGCGUUGCUUCGGCGGACCGCCCCGGCGCCAAGGGCCCGGAACGAGGCGACCGCCGGGGGACCCAAACCCAUUUACCGGAGAGAAUCUGAGUGGCGCAUGCGCAAAUCAAAUCA
rnacentral:misc_RNA from 1 species